rnacentral:rRNA from 1 species
GCGUGUAGGCUGGUUUUCCAGGCAAAUCCGGAAAAUCAAGGCUGAGGCGUGAUGACGAGGCACUACGGUGCUGAAGCAACAAAUGCCCUGCUUCCAGGAAAAGCCUCUAAGCAUCAGGUAACAUCAAAUCGUACCCCAAACCGACACAGGUGGUCAGGUAGAGAAUACCAAGGCGCUUGAGAGAACUCGGGUGAAGGAACUAGGCAAAAUGGUGCCGUAACUUCGGGAGAAGGCACGCUGAUAUGUAGGUGAAGUCCCUCGCGGAUGGAGCUGAAAUCAGUCGAAGAUACCAGCUGGCUGCAACUGUUUAUUAAAAACACAGCACUGUGCAAACACGAAAGUGGACGUAUACGGUGUGACGCCUGCCCGGUGCCGGAAGGUUAAUUGAUGGGGUCAGCGCAAGCGAAGCUCUUGAUCGAAGCCCCGGUAAACGGCGGCCGUAACUAUAACGGUCCUAAGGUAGCGAAAUUCCUUGUCGGGUAAGUUCCGACCUGCACGAAUGGCGUAAUGAUGGCCAGGCUGUCUCCACCCGAGACUCAGUGAAAUUGAACUCGCUGUGAAGAUGCAGUGUACCCGCGGCAAGACGGAAAGACCCCGUGAACCUUUACUAUAGCUUGACACUGAACAUUGAGCCUUGAUGUGUAGGAUAGGUGGGAGGCUUUGAAGUGUGGACGCCAGUCUGCAUGGAGCCGACCUUGAAAUACCACCCUUUAAUGUUUGAUGUUCUAACGUGGACCCGUGAUCCGGGUUGCGGACAGUGUCUGGUGGGUAGUUUGACUGGGGCGGUCUCCUCCUAAAGAGUAACGGAGGAGCACGAAGGUUGGCUAAUCCUGGUCGGACAUCAGGAGGUUAGUGCAAUGGCAUAAGCCAGCUUGACUGCGAGCGUGACGGCGCGAGCAGGUGCGAAAGCAGGUCAUAGUGAUCCGGUGGUUCUGAAUGGAAGGGCCAUCGCUCAACGGAUAAAAGGUACUCCGGGGAUAACAGGCUGAUACCGCCCAAGAGUUCAUAUCGACGGCGGUGUUUGGCACCUCGAUGUCGGCUCAUCACAUCCUGGGGCUGAAGUAGGUCCCAAGGGUAUGGCUGUUCGCCAUUUAAAGUGGUACGCGAGCUGGGUUUAGAACGUCGUGAGACAGUUCGGUCCCUAUCUGCCGUGGGCGCUGGAGAACUGAGGGGGGCUGCUCCUAGUACGAGAGGACCGGAGUGGACGCAUCACUGGUGUUCGGGUUGUCAUGCCAAUGGCACUGCCCGGUAGCUAAAUGCGGAAGAGAUAAGUGCUGAAAGCAUCUAAGCACGAAACUUGCCCCGAGAUGAGUUCUCCCUGACCCUUUAAGGGUCCUGAAGGAACGUUGAAGACGACGACGUUGAUAGGCCGGGUGUGUAAGCGCAGCGAUGCGUUGAGCUAACCGGUACUAAUGAACCGUGAGGCUUAACCUUACAACGCCGAAGGUGUUU